CUGUUUGGAGAUUUUGCUCACAGGACAUCGUUGCCGAUGUAGAAAGUGGAGGAAUUGUGGCGGAGGAAGAGCUUCAGCUAUUGAACAAGCCUAAUCAUGUAUCAACACCAGAGGAGGCCGAAAAUCAGUGUGGGAAAGCAGGCUGUGGCCAGGUCCUGCAUGAGCCCUUUCUGAAGUUCUUAAAGCAUGAAGAAGAAGAUGAAUCAGAGAUUUCCCAGGACAUGGAGAGACUCGCCCUGGAGUAUUACGAUCCCAAACCAGGUGAAUUUGUGGUUGGUGUUGUGACCUGUGGUUUCUGGUAACGAGAACAAACUUGAUGUGAGUAUAGUUGCGGAUAUGUUGGGGACCAUAAUGACGAAUGAGAAAGUUCCAUUGGAUUGUUAAGGAUGAUGAUGAAGAUGGUGUUUAAGUUGUGUAGUUUGCAACGCAAGGCAUGCAUGUGGUGGAGAUAGGACGUUGAGUGGAAGGUCUUUGCUUUCUUCUAGACGUUACUUUAGAAGAAUAGCUUGGCACCAAGUGAGGAUGGAAGCAUGAUAAGGCAAAACGUCAUUCGAUUGAAGAGUUUCAGAGAUAACAAGGAAUUGUUUUCAAGAUUGACGAACUCGAGAUACAAGCCGAACAUAGCGAGCUUUUGCAAGGAUGUGUUGAAAACUGGGUAGUAGUAAGCUAUGACAAGACAAAUCAUUAAAAAUAUGGAUGGUAAAUGAUGAUGGAAAGACAGAUGGAAAUGAGGGAAGUUGAUGAUUGUGUGUGAUAUCAGUAGAUAAAUACAAAAGAAACACGUACGUGUUAUCCACGUUAAAUAGCUGAGUGUAUCUUGGGUCUUUUUUGUAUUUAAUUCAGCUUGAGUUAUAUAUGUGUUUGUUUUAAGACUUUUAGUGCAAGUUUUUUUUUCUUCUCUGUUAUUGUUGUAAACUUGUGAUGUGAUCAUCUUUGAUAAAUAAGUUGGUACAACGUGGGUUUGAGACUUCUUUUGAAUGUGGUGUAAUAUGUUAGAAAAUGAAUAUUAGUUUGAAACUUUGAUCAA